CAGUAGCCACGGUAACACGUAGGUGGCAAGCGUUGUCCGGAAUUAUUGGGCGUAAAGCGCGCGCAGGCGGAUCAGUUAGUCUGUCUUAAAAGUUCGGGGCUUAACCCCGUGAUGGGAUGGAAACUGCUGAUCUAGAGUAUCGGAGAGGAAAGUGGAAUUCCUAGUGUAGCGGUGAAAUGCGUAGAUAUUAGGAAGAACACCAGUGGCGAAGGCGACUUUCUGGACGAAAACUGACGCUGAGGCGCGAAAGCCAGGGGAGCGAACGGGAUUAGAUACCCCCGUAGUCCCUGUCUCUUAUACA
rnacentral:rRNA from 1 species